CGCACAGUUGUCUACAUCUUCUGU
rnacentral:siRNA from 1 species